GUCGAACGGAAGUACCUUCGGGUACUUUAGUGGCGAACGGGUGAGUAAUACAUAGGUAACCUACCCUUAAGACGAGGAUAGCCAUUGGAAACGAUGGAUAAAACUGGAUAGGAUAUAGAGGAAGAAUCUUUUAUAUUUAAAAGAGAGAUCUGCUUAAGGAGGGGCCUGUGGCGCAUUAGCUAGUUGGUGGGGUAAGGGCCUACCAAGGCGAUGAUGCGUAGCCGGACUGAGAGGUUGAACGGCCACAAUGGAACUGAGAACGGUCCAUACUCCUACGGGAGGCAGCAGUAGGGAAUUUUCGGCAAUGGGGGGAACCCUGACCGAGCAACGCCGCGCGAACGAAGAAGUUAUUCGUAAUGUAAAGUUCUUUUAUCAGGGAAGAAAGAGGAAUUUGACGGCACCUGAGGAAUAAGCUCCG
rnacentral:rRNA from 1 species